AGAGUUUGAUCCUGGCUCAGGAUCAACGCUGGCGGCGUGCCUAAUGCAUGCAAGUCGCACGGCUGGUCUUCGGACCUGCAGUGGCGAACGGCUGAGGAACACGUACGAACCUACCCGCUCGUGGGGAAUAACGCGCCGAAAGGCGUGCUAAUACCGCGUACGCUUCCCCUGGGAAGGAAAGCCUUCGGGCGCGGGCGGUGGGGCGUGCGGCCCAUCAGGUCGUUGGCGGGGUAAUGGCCCACCAAGCCGGUGACGGGUCGCUGGUCUGUGAGGACGAUCAGCCAGACUGGGACUGAGACACGGCCCAGACACCUACGGGUGGCAGCAGCAAGGAAUCUUCGGCACUGGGCGCAAGCCUGACCGAGCAACGCCGCGUGGAGGACGACGGCCUUCGGGUUGUAAACCGCUUUUGGGGGGGAAGAUACGGACGGUACCCCCCGAAUAAGCCCCGGCUAACUCUGUGCCAGCAGCCGCGGUAAUACAGAGGGGGCAAGCGUUGUCCGGAUUGACUGGGCGUAAAGCGCACGUAGGUGGUUGGUUACGUGGUGUGUGAAAGCUCAGGGCUUAACCCUGAUAGGCCAUGCCAAACGAAUCGACUCGAGGCUGAGCAGAGGCGGGUGGAAUUGCCGGUGUAGUGGUGAAAUGCGUAGAGAUCGGCAGGAACACCAAGGGGGAACCCAGCCCGCUGGGCCAGUCCUGACACUGAGGUGCGANAGCGUGGGGAGCAAACAGGAUUAGAUACCCCCGUAGUCC
rnacentral:rRNA from 1 species